rnacentral:lncRNA from 1 species
CAUGAACCUGAUUGGACCAUCCCGUCCUUUGUGUCAACCCAGCUCUUCUGAUUCCUGGACGUUACAGGCUGAGUCCCCAAACUGGUGCUGAGUGCACGAUCUCCUUGCAGUGUCAACCUCCUCCGGAAAGGUAGUCCCAACCUCUCAGGAAUUUUUCCAUCAGCACUAGUAAGUGUGCCGCAUGGGCCCUCUCCCUCCCUCUCAAAAAGGUAAGAUAAUCUGCACUAUAAAAGCACUUGCUUUUCUCCCCAAGGGAAAGAUUGCGUAGAAUGAUCCCUUUCUUUUACUGUUAACUUUCUUGCCCCACUGUCCUUUUAUAAAAACACUCCACUUUGUAUAAUUCGUCAAUGUUGCCCUCUACAUGUUAGAUGGGUUGCUGCUCUACUCAUGAAUUAUUUAAUAAAGCCAAUUAGAUCUUUACAUUUACUCCACUGAAUUUUUCCUUUUAAUAAUACUAAAUCAAUCUAUCAAUCUAUCUGGCCUACUGGUCCUGUUUCUCUGGAGAACCCUGACUAAUAUCUUGAGCCAUAUGGU